ACCACACUUCUCUUGCGGUAUGUUUUGGGCUGUAAGUUUAGUAGCGGGCCGGCGUUGCUGCGGUAAUUAGUAGUAGUUUGCAUUCGCAAAAGAAUGCACGUUUGAGAAUCUCAUGGAACCGCAAUUCAAGAAAUUUCUAAUGAGGACGAACCGAAGGACCUUUGAGGACUCCAACAGACCAGUUUGUGGAAAGUUAAUGAAGGUCUAGCUGACAGAGCACUGGACCCUGGAGAGAUGGCACUGUGAAUACAAGGUUUUUCAUCUCUGUUUCGGAUGAGAGGGACAGCUCUGUUGGAAUGGCAGAUCCAGAGAAACAUCUCCCGUACCAAAAGAAGAGCUUUAAAGUCCAACUGUGGCUUCAUCACCCUGUCAAAUCACUUCAAAUGUGCAGUUUGGUGUCUUGCAGUUCAGCUGCCAGCCGCUGGCAUUUCUUCUUUAGCUGCUGGACUGAACGCUGGGACUCCUCGUGGUCAGCCUGCAAGUCCCCUAACUACACAGAGAAAGAGACGGGAAGAAUCAUCGCCAUCAUUUUCCACCUCGCCAUUGAAUUCUGAUGCUUGGAGGAGUCUGGCCUCCAUGAUCUCCAUCUCCAUGGACUCCAUCUGUUUCUGUACAGCGUCAAACUUCCCCUGAGUUUCAGAAAAAGAAAAGAACAGGCAAGAUCUGGCCAGACGACAAUGUUGCAAUUCUGAAGCAAAUGCUUUGAGCUGGGAUUGAGAUGUGAUGACAGCAGGAAUCAAAGAGAAGUCUCAGCUCUAACGCUGAUGCAACAAAAGCCCUCAGAUCAUGUCAUCUUUAAGGCAAACGCGUCCACACACACAGAUAAACCUUCGAGCUCUACUGUAAACUGACAGAAGCUUUGUAUAGCGAGCACACCAGGGAAUGAAAUAAAGAGUAAGAUGGAAAGUCUCACAUCUUU